rnacentral:tRNA from 2 species
GGUCCCGUAGUCUAGCGGUCAGGACAUUGAACUUUGAAUCCAGUAGCGUGAGUUCGAAUCUCGCCGGGACCU